AUGGCUCAGGAUGAACGCUAGCGGCAGGCUUAACACAUGCAAGUCGAGGGGCAGCGGGAUGUAGCAAUACAUUGCCGGCGACCGGCGGAUGGGUGCGUAACGCGUAUGCAACCUACCUUAUACAGGGGAAUAACCUUUCGAAAGGGAGACUAACACCCCAUAGUAUUGAUUUAAGGCAUCUUAGAUUAAUUAAAUAUUUAUAGGUAUAAGAUGGGCAUGCGUAUGAUUAGCUAGUUGGUAAGGUAACGGCUUACCAAGGCGACGAUCAUUAGGGGUUCUGAGAGGAAGGUCCCCCACACUGGUACUGAGACACGGACCAGACUCCUACGGGAGGCAGCAGUGAGGAAUAUUGGUCAAUGGGCGCAAGCCUGAACCAGCCAUGCCGCGUGCAAGGAAGACGGCCUUAUGGGUUGUAAACUGCUUUUACAUAAGACUAACCGUAUAUUUGCGAAUAUACCUGAAUGUAUUAUGAGAAUAAGGAUCGGCUAACUCCGUGCCAGCCGCCGC
rnacentral:rRNA from 1 species